rnacentral:rRNA from 1 species
UUUCCAGGGSGCAAGGGAUCUUCCGCAAGGACGAAAGUCUGACGGAGCAACGCCGCGUGAGUGAUGAAGGUUUUCGGAUCGUAAAGCUCUGUUGUUAGGGAAGAACAAGUGCCGUUCAAAUAGGGCGGCACCUUGACGGUACCUAACCAGAAAGCCACGGCUAACUACGUGCCAGCAGCCGCGGUAAUACGUAGGUGGCAAGCGUUGUCCGGAAUUAUUGGGCGUAAAGGGCUCGCAGGCGGUUUCUUAAGUCUGAUGUGAAAGCCCCCGGCUCAACCGGGGAGGGUCAUUGGAAACUGGGGAACUUGAGUGCAGAAGAGGAGAGUGGAAUUCCACGUGUAGCGGUGAAAUGCGUAGAGAUGUGGAGGAACACCAGUGGCGAAGGCGACUCUCUGGUCUGUAACUGACGCUGAGGAGCGAAAGCGUGSSGAGCGAACAGGAUUAGAUACCCUGGUAGUCAA